ACUAUCUCAUGGUUUUGAUUUGCAUAGCCUAGAACAUUUUUGAGUCUUCCUGUGUCCUACCCAGGUUAUUCAUUUCCAGCUACUGCUCUUCCUUUGCUCAUAGCACACAACACCAGUUGUUAGGUCCUGGAGGAAGUAAAAAUAUGUGUAACUAUGGUCCCUGGCUAUAUGAAUCAGGAUGCUCUGGACAAGAAUUAAAUUAUGAGGAAAAUUUAUUUUAUUUCAUAACAUUAGUACGUGAGUAGGUAAGCCCAGGAGUUUGGUGAUUCAGCAACUCUGAGACCUCUUAAGGGGCCUGAAUUCUUUCCAUCUUUCUUCCUUGCCAUUCUAAUUAGGUCAGCUGUGCUCUCAGACUGCCUGCCUUCCUGCUGCUGCAGUUUCAGGCAUCACACCCAGAGAUAACAUUCAUAAAAGAACAGGAGCAUCUCUUCUGUGUUUUCUUCUAAGGAAUGAAGGAACCAUUUCCCAGAAGUCCUUCAAGAAUCCUCUUCUAGGCCGGGCACAGCGGCUCACACCUAUAAUCUCAACACUUUGGGAGGCCAAGGUUGGGGGAUUGUUUGAGUCCAGGAGUUUAAGACCAGCCUGGAACAUAGCAAGACCCUGUCUCUACAAAAAAUAUAAAAAAUGAGCGGGGCAUGGUGGCUCUCGCCUGUGGUUCCACCUACUAGGGAGGCUGAGGCAGGAGGAUCACUUGAGCCCAGGAAUUUGAGGCUGCAGUGAGCUACGAUCACACCACUGCAUUCUAGCCUUAAGUGACAGAGUGAGACCCCAAAUAAAAAAAAAAAAAACAAAAAACCUCUUAUGACUCAUUGGCUAGAACCACCCACCUCAUGCCAAUCCACUGACACUGAGAAUGGCAUUGUGAUUGGCUUUCAAUAGUAUUUUCCCCCAGAGAUGAGGUCAUCUUCCAUGAAGGUCAGAUAUCUACAGAAAUAAUUGAUGUUAGCAAGGAAGAAGCAGAGAAUGGGUAUUGAUAGACAAUGUCUGCUCUAGGGAUGGGUCAUUCUGCCAACAUUCAGCAGAUCCCCUAUCUACUCCCAAAAUGCCUGGUACCAGCUAAUAGUUAACAUCUUCUGAGAGCAUUACUUAAAGUCUUUACAUAUCUUCACUUAUUUAACCCACAAAUCAACCCUUAAAGGUAGGUUCUGAUGUAGUGGGUUGGUGCAAAAGUAAUUGGAGUUUUGCCAUUUUAAUGCAAUUACUUUUGCACCAAUCUAAUAUAUCCCCAUUUUCUAGGUGGGGAACAUGAGGCACAGAGUGGUUAUGUCUUACCCACAGUCAUUUGCAAGGGAGUGGCAGAGCCUAGAUACAAACCAUGUCAAUCUGCCUCUGAGUCUACGUAGUAUAUCCACUAUACUAAACUGCCCUUCUACCUUACAAAGCAGAACAAGAUCAGGUUCUCACUUUUAAGGAGUCUACAGUCUAGUAUAGGAGCCAGCAAACUUUCUCUGUAAAGGUCUGGAGACUAAAUACUAGGUUUUGCAGCAGUAUGGUCUCUGUUGUAACUACUCAGCUUUUCCACUGUAGCGUAAAAACAGUUGUAGACAAUUCAUAAACAAGUGUGGCUGUGUUCCAAUAAAACUUGAUUUACAAAAAUAGGCAGCUGGCCGGGUUUGUCCCAUGAGUCAGUUUGUGGACCUGCGGUCUAGUGAGUUAGAAUACUGCUUACCAAAUUUUAAUGUGUGUGUGAUUCACGUGGGAUCGGGUUAAAAUGCAAAUUUUGAUUCAAUAGGUCCGGAGUGAGGCCUAGUAAAAGUGUAAGUGCUAUGCUCUAAAAAUGUUGACAGCAUGAUUAUCACACUCCUCUGCUGUUUGAGGGGCAGGGAGCAUUUGGAGAUGCCUUGUUUCAGGAACCCAUUCAGCCAAGUUGUCCUGGCAAGCCGUACCUCCCACAGCCCCCUCCACACCGGCUGUUUGUCCAAUCUAACUUUGCACUGGAGCAAGAUGUGUUUUCCCAGGAUGAGGAAAGGAAGGUUAGCCCACACUGCUGGAUGUGGAAGGGGAUGGGAACCAGGGAAAGAAUGGUAACUGGGGAGGAAGGGAAACCAUGAUACUUUUUUCAAAAAACUCUUCAUAUCUGUCAUUUCUCCUAUUCUUAUGGAACUUCACAAUUGCUUUUUCUUUAUUCCUUUUUUUUUUUCUAUAUCAGCUCAUCAGUCUUUGUGGGUGACUUGGCUACCCCACUAAUCUAAUUGCCUUUUUGAUAGUUAAAUCAAUAUGGACAUCAACUUAAGGCUAUAUGUGAACCUUAAAUGCAUGAUAUUCCCUAUACUUGAUUCCACAAUUGAUAUUCUGUGAGGAAAGUUGGCCAGAUAUUCCCUUCUGUGAAGUCAGAAUAACUACCGACCCUAAGAAUAAACAUUUUGACCAAUUCUUUAUAUGUUGCAAACUAUUCACACAACUAGAAAGUUUAGCCAUUCACAUCUCUUCCCCUGAUUUUAAGUCCCAGAUUCUGAGACUCAGAAAGUUUAGUGACUUGUUGAGCUUUCUGUGGAAAAUCUGUUGUAAAAACAGUUCAGACAUUGGAAAAUAUAAAAUAGCCCCUAGAGAUCCCAAUAAAGCUUCCUCUCCCCAAAUCCCUCUACAAGUUUAUCCUCGAAAAACUUUCUGAAAACUGAUGAGAAAAUACUGAGUAAUUAAUGCUCAAAUGGGAAAGAUGACAUGUAAAAGCAAAAACCUGUUAAUGGCAUCUGUUCAUAUAGUUCCAUGUGCCUUUUUACUUAACUGCACUGAUAGGCAAUGUAAUGAAGAAGUUUCCUUUUAAAACGUAAAAUGUAAUUAAACAGAGUUUAUCUUAAAUUGGCUGGACCCGCACAGCUUGACUGAGACAUACACAGCUGUCUUCAUUUUGAAGCACCUACACUAGUCAAGCUUCUUUCUAACCCGCCCUUAGGGUUUGCCUGUUGGUCUGUCUUCCCUACUGGGCUGUUAAUCCCUUGGAGGCAGAUUGUCUUGUUUCCCAGAGUUUUUCCAGCAUAUACCAUGGCAGACAAUUUUCACCUUAUCUAUUCUAACUCGUAAGCCUCAGCUAGUGCCUCCAUCCUCGGGUGCAUAGCCCAGUGACAGGCAUGUAACAGACUUUGCCUACAAGCAGUUGCUGAUCCAUAAAUGACGUUGGCAACCUUCUUGUGGCAGUGAGUAACAUAUUUCUUUCCUCCUGAUAGGCUUGGAAUCCUCAUCCCCAUCUGGCAAUUUUCUUUCCAUCUUUCCUACACUCACAAUGGAGCCCACACGCCUCACAACCCCCUUGACUAAACCAGAUGACAGCAAGAAUGCCUAGUUCCAAGUGAGCAAGGGUGAAGCCUUAGGCCCUUGUCUCCUCCAGACCUCCUCUCUGCUCUAAGAGUAUACUGGGCAUGGGGUGUGGUCGGGGGGUUGGGGGCGGAGGAGUACUUAACCUCAAACUGAGAAAAAGGGUGUCCUGAGCAAGUUUCAUAGCGUAGCAGCUUCCAUUUGAAAUGUGAAGCUUUGAAGGCCUGUUGCUACAGUAACCAGCUAGCUCCUGACUCCAAUGCCUGUCUAAUCUAAGGUGGAAAUGUCCCAGAAAGAUUAUGAUGUGGGUUCUCAUAAAAAUUUCACUCCCCCCAAAGCCACCCAAAGGAAAGGCAGUGAAAUGGGGAGGAACACACAUUUGCCUGGCAUCGCAAGAGCUGCCUUGUAGUCAUGGGUUCCAGUGAUCUUGGACCGAUCUCUUCACUUCCCUGGACCUCAGUUUCUUCCAUACAAAGAAGUUGAACUGGAUCAUAGAAAAGAUGCUGUCCAGCUUGGUAAUAUCAGAUAGGGAGCAGAAGCUGUCUCUUAGCACAUGGCCAGAUUCCGGAACAACGAUGAUGGUCUCCAUGUUUGUCCUAAAAAUGCAUCUCAUCUCAGUAGAGAUUUUCUUCCACCUCAUUUGGGUCUCAAUUUAAGGAAGGAAGAAAGGAAAGAAACCCGGGGAUUCUCUUCUUGAAAGGAAUAUACUUCACUUUCUCUAGGCUUCUAGGAUAAAAACUUCCUAUCCUUCAUUUUUCCUCUUUAAACCUGCCAAAAUCAAGUUGAGUAAAGAUACCAUACAGAUAUGAAAAAGAAGCCACAUCCUUAAAUUUUCAUGGAGUCCAAGAGCCUGCUCACCGCCAGUUAGCUUUUCCCAGGAUGGUGGUGGCACUGAUCAUCUAGGUUGCACUUUUAUGUUCAUGUCCCAGAGCGUUUCCCAUCAGCCAUCUCAUUUCAUCUUUUCAUCAUUCCUCUGAGGAAAAGACUUCACACAUGUAUAGGACUUUCUAUAUCACAAAGUAUUUCAUAUCCAAUGUCUUAUUUAGAUCUUGACAAUCACUGUUUAAGGUAAUUUGGCAAGUUAUUAAUACUCAUGUCCUCAUUUUACUGAAGAGGAAACUGAAAUGCAGAGAGCUUGUCUUUUGCCCAGGAUCACUCACCCAGUUUAUUGGGAGGCAGCAGCACGGGGAUUAAGAACAUGGGUUAUGCCGACAACCAACCAGGCAGAAUUCCAGCUCUGUCAGUAGUUAGCUGUCUGGCCUUAGGAAAGGGAUUUCACACCUCUGUGGCUUAGUUUCCUUGUCCAUUAAAUGCUCAUAAGAAUAGAGCUUUCCUCACAGAGAUUGGGUGGGCACGGGAGCUAAAUGAGCUCAUACGUUUAAGAACAACCUCUAGCACACAGUGCAUAAUAAAUGUCAUUAUUAUUAGCAAAGCCAGGACCUGGGUCUUCCAGCUUCUAGCUCAGUGGCAUUUCUGCUGCCCCACACCAGGACUAUCCUUCGUAUACAGGUAUGAACCUAAAGCCUUCAGUGUUUCAAUGAAAAGUUCACCCAAGGUCUUUCUGUUCAGUAAGUCUAGAGCUAAGGGCUCCUGGCACUCUGUUCAGUCCUUUCGCUGGUAAACCACGCUGCCCUCCGUUGCUCUGGGCAGAAUGUCAAACCUUCUUAUGUUUUUAAAAUUUAUAAAUCAAGCACUCUUAUUUAAUAUUACUGACAGCCCGAAGGCAGACGCUCCCACUCUCCUGGGGAAGAGGGUCUUCUAAUCUGCCAUCUUAAGGAGGUAAAAGGGCUUGAUUGGGUAACUCAUUGCAAUGGGCACGUAUUUAUUACUGAGUCAAAAGUCUUCUCUUGCAGCUGGGUGUUGAGGGUGAUUGCCCCUCUCUCUCCUUGUAAGAUUAUGUUUGACAGCAGUGAAAACCAACAGUUUAACAGCAGUAAUCUCUUGGCAGGACAGAUUGAUAUGAGCCUUGUCCCAAAACAAAGUAAUCCUUUCAGGGAAGUGUAUUUCAAGUUGAGCUCACGUUCCCAAGAUGCUGAGAUUCUUAUGUAGCUGACACCGGAGCUGAGGCUGAGCCCCAGCCAGGGAUAUCCAACGAUUGCCAGUAACACCACGGAACUGAGUGAAGAUUCAGGGGCUGAGUGUGUUCCUGAGUGCUUCAAACCGGGGGACCUGGAAACCAGAGGACUCCUGGGGAAAGGCUGUCAACUCCAGCCUGCUCUUCCUAAAUGGCCUUGUUAGUAGUGACUUCAGCCCUGGCGGUGAGGCAUGUGGGUCAGAAUAACAUUCCCUUUCUUUUCCCUUCACCUCUUUUUUCUCCACGGUUCCUUUUCAUAACUUCUUUAUUUGCUGCCUAGAGGAGCUUUCUGGACAUUUUGUCUCCAGGGAGCGUGACAUGUCACCUGUUUCUCACCUCAUAUGCCUCUGAUCUUCUACACCAAGGUAGCUAUAAAGGCUUGCUUUCUAGGCUGGGUUUCCCUGCACAGGCCCACUGAACCACUCAAACCUCAGAGGUGGAAGUGCCCAGCGGGCCUCAUGGUCAGCUGGGGAUAACGGAGUCAUUUUCGCAGCCCAACUUCUGAAAUUCCACAAGAGGGCGCCCAAGGUCUCCCAAGUCCGGCCACGCCCGGUGGCCUUGAGGCCGGAAGGUGGCGCUGUUGCUUUAGCCAUCAAGAAAGGCAAGGCUGGGGACGCCGCAUCCCCGGGUGCGGAGGGCGAUGCCUAGGGGCGAUGCUGUGCCUGUGGCGGCCAAACAGUGCCACCCACUCCGGGAAACAAAGCCAAGCGCCGGACGCUAG
rnacentral:lncRNA from 1 species